rnacentral:tRNA from 1 species
UAAGGCUUUAGCUUAAUUAAAGUGUCUGUUUUGCAUACAGAAGAUGUGGGUUAGUAUCCCGUAAGUUUUA